rnacentral:ncRNA from 1 species
UUAUAGGCAAUGAAGAGGAGUAGUAAGGAUUUCUUAUUUAUAAAGAGAGCUGUCGGCUGGUGUAAGGCAGUAAAUAAGUUCCUGAACUCGCCUUGGAGCUUUAAGGUUAAUAAUAAACCUUAACGGGUUGCGCCGUUAUACGUUUAGAGUGAGUUCAUUAACUGUGAACUAACAAGAGUGGUAACGCGUAGGUGAAGCCUGUCGUCUCUUAG